GGGGAUUUAGCUCAGUGGCAGAGCGCUUGCCUAGCAAGCGCAAGGUCCUGGGUUCAGUCCCCA
rnacentral:tRNA from 1 species